rnacentral:rRNA from 1 species
AGGUCGCAAGACUGAGUAGAGUGGCGGACGGGUGAGUAAAAUAUAGGAAUCUACCCUUUANAGGAGAAUACCAUCGAGAAAUCGGUGUUAAUACUGCAUAAGCCCAGAGAUGGGGAAAGGUGGCCUCAAGCUACCGCUGAAGGAUGAGCCUGUAACCUAUUAGCUAGUUGGUGGGGUAAUGGCCUACCAAGGCAGAGAUGGGUAACCGGCCUGAGAGGGUGUACGGUCACACUGGAACUGAGACACGGUCCAGACUCCUACGGGAGGCAGCAGUGGGGGAUAUUGCACAAUGGGCGCAAGCCUGAUGCAGCGACGCCGCGUGGAGGAUGAAGGUUUUCGGAUUGUAAACUCCUGUUACGUGGGAAAAAAUGCCCUGUUUGAACAAAACAGGGAGCUGAUGGUACCACGAGAGAAAGCACCGGCAAACUUCGUGCCAGCAGCCGCGGUAAUACGAAGGGUGCAAGCGUUAUUCGGAAUAACUGGGUGUAAAGAGCGUGGAGGCGGCUUUAUAAGUCAUUUGUAAAAUAGCUCGGCUUAACUGAGCACCUGCAGAUGAUACUGUAGAGCUAGAGUACAGGAGAGAAAGGUAGAAUCUCGGAGUAGCGGUAAAAUGCGUAGAUCUCGAGAGGAAUACCGGUUGCGAAGGCGGCCUUUUGGCCUGUAACUGACGCUCAAGCGCGAAAGCGUGGGUAGCAAACAGGAUUAGAUACCCUGGUAGUCCACGCUGUAAACGAUGAUCACUAGAUGUAGGUCCUGCAAUGCAGGGUCUGUGUCGUAGCUAACGCGAUAAGUGGUCCACCUGAGUACUACGAUCGCAAGAUUAAAACUCAAAGGAAUUGACGGGGGUCCGCACAAGCGGUGGAACAUGUGGUUUAAUUCGACACUACGCGAGGAACCUUACCUGGGUUUGACAUGUAACUGCUACUGAUAGAGAUAUUGGGUUCCGUAGCAAUACGGACGGUUACACAGGUGCUGCAUGGCUGUCGUCAGCUCGUGUCGUGAGACGUCGGGUUAAGUCCUUGAACGAGCGCAACCCUUGCCGUUAGUUGCUUACCGAAAGGUGGCUCUCUAGCGGGACUGCUUCGGAA